rnacentral:rRNA from 1 species
ACCAUGAGAGUCGAUAACACCCGAAGCCUGUGAGCUAACCGUAAGGAGGCAGCAGUCGAAGGUGGGGUUGAUGAUUGGGGUGAAGUCGUAACAAGGUACC